rnacentral:rRNA from 1 species
AAUGAACGCUGGCGGCAUGCCUAACACAUGCAAGUCGAACGAGAAAUCAACUUCGGUUGGUGGAAAGUGGCGCACGGGUGAGUAAUGCAUGGAAAUCUACCUCGCACUGGGGAAUAACUCUCAGAAAUGAGAGCUAAUACCGCAUACGCCCUACGGGGGAAAACUACGGUGGUGUGAGAUGAGUCCAUGUCAGAUUAGCUUGUUGGUGGGGUAAAAGCCUACCAAGGCGACGAUCUGUAGCUGGUUUGAGAGGAUGAUCAGCCACACUGGUACUGAGACACGGACCAG